UCCUGUCCCCCUCCACAUCUGUACCCCCUUCAAUGUCCCAGGUGGGACAACUCCUGUGGUCAGGCAACCGGCUUGGAUGACAUCCGCAAUAUUUCAGAGGCUGCUUUACCCCUUGCUCCCUGCCCUGAGCAUGGAGGGACAGGCAGACACAAUCCAGGCAGUCUCCAAAGUCAUCCCUGCCCGGGGGUGACUUCCUGCAGAGGACAAGAGAAGAAACCAGUUUGCUGCCCAGAGCAAACAGGCCAGGGAGGAGACAUCUGGGCUGCAGGCCCACAGUGUGCUGCAAAGAGUUGCGUUUGAAGCCUUUUCUCUUCAGGCAGAAGAGUCUGCCUGUGCUGAGGAAGUUGUUGGGAGGUUUACUGCCUCCGAGAGGUGAUGGUGGCCUGUGUGGGAGUAGGGGAUGCAGCUGCUGGGAGAAGAGGCUGCUGAAACACCAAAGCCUCAGCAAAGAGUUCAAGGAGAAAGCGGGCUCAGGAAGGCAGGAUUUGUCAGCUGUUUCCUGGGCUUGGGAAUUCCUAUGAUGCUGACUUCAGGAGGGCCCUGUGUUUCCCUGUGGCAUUCCCUGCCACUGCUUGCCUCCCCCUGUACAGGAUCCUUGGCCAGAGAUUGGGUUUCUGUAGCUAUGACUCCUGUUUUCUUCUGGUGUUUGUUCCAGACAACACUGUGCCAGUGAUACUGGAGGCUCAUGAGAUCAGGUGGCUUUGUGAGGAGCUGGACAGCCCAGACCCUGACAAUCUGGUGAAAAGCAGUAUCAAAAUAACAAAGGCUGUUUGCAAAUGCAUCCCUUCAGCACAGGCUGUGGAUUUCCUGAGAGCCAUCUUGGACAGCCCACUGCAUGUCACCACAGCCCCAGAGAUGUCAAUGUCAUGAAAAUGGGUGUUUGUUUUCCUGAAGGAACGUGGAAAGGACAUACUCGGAGAGGUGCCAGAAUUCCUGAGCACCCUGUACACCUACAGGCAGAGGG